UAACGUGUGGGUAACCUGCCUUUUACUGUGGAAUAAUCGUUGGAAACGACGACUAAUACCGCAUACGGUUCUUGGAAGGCAUCUUCUAAGAAAGAAAGGAGUAAUUCGGUAAAAGAUGGGCCCGNAUCUGAUUANCUAGUUGGUGAGAUAACAGCCCACCAAGGCAACGAUCAGUANCCNACCUGAGAGGGUGACCGGCCACAUUGGGACUGAGACACGGCCCANACUCCUACGGGAGGCANCANUGGGGAAUAUUGNACAAUGGGGGAAACCCUGAUGCANCAACGCCGCGUGAAGGAAGACGGUUUUCGGAUUGUNAACUUCUAUCAAUAGGGAAGAAAGAAAUGACGGUACCUAAAUAAGAAGCCCCGGCUAACUACGUGCCAGCAGCCGCGGNAAUACGUAGGGGGCAAGCGUUAUCCGGAAUUACUGGGUGUAAAGGGAGAGUAGGCGGCAAGGUAAGCGAUAUGUGAAAGCCUUAGGCUUAACCAAAGGAUUGCAUAACGAACUAUCUAGCUAGAGUACAGGAGAGGAAAGCGGAAUUCCUAGUGUANCGNUGAAAUGCGUAGAUAUUAGGAAGAACACCAGUGGCNAANGCGGCUUUCUGGACUGAAACUGACGCUGAGGCUCGAAAGCNUGGGGAGCGAACAGGAUUANAUACCCUGGUAGU
rnacentral:rRNA from 1 species